AUCUGACUGGCUCAGUCAGUAGAGCAUUUGACUCUUGAUCUUGGGGUCAUGAGUUCGAGCCCCAUGUUGGGUA
rnacentral:tRNA from 1 species